CCAGGAGAAGACACUAAUAGAUAUUGAGAAAAAAAGAUUGCUUAAUACGAUCUCAUCACCUUAUAAAACUGUAUUAAACCUCAAUAAAUCGUCUGGAGAAAGAAACGACCGCAAUUUAACUUCAUCGUCAAAGAAUAUUAAGUUGGAAAAAGCUAUAAAUAUUUCAAACAUUAAUUAUCAACAAACAUUCCAAAACAUGUCCGAAAAGUCAAAUCAAAACAAUACAACAAAAACAAUAUCAAGCGAGAAUAAUGAAAACCCGGAUAAAGUCAAGGUCAAGUCGUUAGAUGUAUUCCCAGUAAAUUCAAACAAUCUUGCAAAUUCUACGAUUGAUUUCAAGCCUUCAAACAAUAAAACUGUUAUACAAAGUGUUGGUAAAGCAAGUGAUUUAGAAGGUACAAAAGAAAACAAUUAUUAUAAUGUAACAUUCUUUUCGGCAUUUGUCGGUAAUCAAUGCCCGACAGGCUAUGGAAAGGUAAACGGGCAAUGUGUCGUGAAACAUUAAUAACGUUUAGACAAUCUAAUUCCAAUCCUAACUACGCAACGUUGUGACUUGCAUUUUGCAUUAAAACAUGGUAUCCUACGUGCAUCGUCAAUAAUUACAACGUAUUAUGAUGGCUUUUUUUAUGACAUAAUAAAUCAAAUAAUAUCUAAA